GAUGAACGCUAGCGGCAGGCUUAAUACAUGCAAGUCGAACGGCAGCGGGUCCAGCAAUGGAUGCCGGCGAGUGGCGCACGGGUGCGUAACACGUAUGCAACCUACCUUUAACCGGGACAUAACCCCGAGAAAUCGUGGCUAAUAUUCCAUAAUAUCUUUGAAUCGCAUGGUUUGAAGAUCAAAAUUCCGAUGGUUUUAGAUGGGCAUGCGCGACAUUAGCUAGUUGGUGAGGUAAUGGCUCACCAAGGCUACGAUGUUUAGGGGGUCUGAGAGGAUGAUCCCCCACACUGGUACUGAGACACGGACCAGACUCCUACGGGAGGCAGCAGUAAGGAAUAUUGGGCAAUGGGCGCAAGCCUGACCCAGCCAUGCCGCGUGCAGGAUGACAGCCCUACGGGUUGUAAACUGCUUUUAUACGGGAAAAAACCCUCUGACGUGUCAGAGGCUGAUGGUACCGUAAGAAUAAGCAUCGGCUAACUCCGUGCCAGCCGCCGCAGUAA
rnacentral:rRNA from 1 species